rnacentral:rRNA from 1 species
CAGUAGCCACGGUAAUACGUAGGUGGCAAGCGUUGUCCGGAAUUAUUGGGCGUAAAGGGCUCGCAGGCGGUUUCUUAAGUCUGAUGUGAAAGCCCCCGGCUCAACCGGGGAGGGUCAUUGGAAACUGGGAAACUUGAGUGCAGAAGAGGAGAGUGGAAUUCCACGUGUAGCGGUGAAAUGCGUAGAGAUGUGGAGGAACACCAGUGGCGGAGGCGACUCUCUGGUCUGUAACUGACGCUGAGGAGCGAAAGCGUGGGGAGCGAACAGGAUUAGAUACCCCCGUAGUCCCUGUCUCUUAUAC